rnacentral:sRNA from 1 species
GCCCCAAGUCGCACGUGCCCUUGGGCGUCCCCCGGUCCUCGAAUGCGAGGGUUGCCGGGACGGUACCUGGACUUAACACAUCCAGUCGUUUCCGCUGCUGGCGGAUUCGAGGACGCCCUCAAAGCAACGACGGUCCGGGCCUUU